UUUGACCAAGAAGGAGAGUGAUGGAGUGCUGCAUCAGAUGACCUGGCCUCUACAAUCACCUGACCUCAACCCAAUUGAGAUGGUUUAGGAUGAGUUGGACCGCAGAGUGAAGGAAAGCAGCCAACAAGUGUUCAGCAUAUGUGGAACUCCAAGACUGCCAGAAAAGCAUUCCAGGUAAAGCUGGUUGAGAGAAUGCCAAGAGUGUGCAAAGCAGUCAUCAAGGCAAAUGGUGGCUACUGAUCAUCUCCAGCAUUAAACAGACCCUGUUUAGGAACGUUCAACACUAUGUACUGUUUAGUAGUGGGAUGUUUUUUCUGAAGAUAAUCUAGUCUUUCUAAAUUCACCUCUCAUCUCCCUCAUGUAGAUAUAAAUGAGUGCUUAAAUGAGAAGAACAUCUGUAGGCUAUUCAACUUGUAUCAACACCUUUGAAAGCUACUACUGUCAAUGCUAUUCUGUCUUCAGAUCGCUUGGCUUUGAAUCAUGUGGUGGUCAAUAUAAUCUUAUUGAAAGUGUGACUGUGUUAACGUGUGAGGGAUUAUCACCCUCUCUUUGUAAACAUACAAUCUUUAAUCAUCUUUCCAUCUCCACUACUUUUCCCUUUACCACUCACUUUCUCUAUCAGACAUAGAUGAGUGUGUUGAGAACCAACAUUUUUGUGGGGAAUGGAGAAUCGAUCUCAAUCAGCUGGGCAGCUACCUGUGCAAGUGUCACACAGGAUGCAGUCGCUAUGGCAACAGACAAACUCAGUGUGCAGUUUUAUUUACCCAGGCCAAAACCUGAAUGCCAGUUACUGGUGCCAGUGUCCUGCUGGAUUUACUAACUUUAGCAAAAACCAAACUAAGUGUGUAGGUGAGAGUCAAGCACCAUUCCACCUGUUGUCCAUGAUGUACUCCUUUAUCAUGCACAGCUAUGUACAUAGUGUACUGUAGAAGGGUAUUGAGAUAAUGUCUCCAUGCUUUUACUUUAGAGCUUCUGUGACCAGCAUGAAACACAGCCUGGACAGACUGUACCAGGCGUUUGACAGGUUCUUGUCUCUGUUGAGAAAAACAGUUAGGUGUUGAGCAACUCUACGUUGUCUGGACCUACAAGAUAGUUACUGACUGGAGAUGUGCUUUUGACAGUAAGUCACCACACACAAACACACACAUGCAUAUAACUCUUGUCUCUUUUCUGUAGUUACUGGUUAAUACCACUGAUGUUCUUCAAUUGGGCCUCCAGUCCAAUGGUCACCGUAGUAGCAGUGAAGUGACUAGGUUACUGAGGAAGAUUGAA